GAUGAAGAGCGCAGCGAAAUGCGAUACGUAGUGUGAAUUGCAGAAUUCAGUGAAUCAUCGAAUCUUUGAACGCACAUUGCACCUCUCGGUAUUCCGGGAGGUAUGCCUGUUCGAGCGUCAUUUGUACCCUCAAGCUCUGCUUGGUGUUGGGUGUUUGUUCCGCCUCUGUGUGUGAACUCGCCUCAAAACAAUUGGCAGCCGGCGUACUUGUUUCGGAGCGCAGCACAUUUUGCGAUCCAGAUCAACGUACAGCGGCAUCCAAGAAGCCUUAUUUAACGCUCUUGACCUCGGAUCAGGUAGGGAUACCCGCUGAACUUAAGCAUAUCAAUAAGCGGAGGA
rnacentral:misc_RNA from 1 species